UACGUAGGGGGCAAGCGUUGUCCGGAAUCAUUGGGCGUAAAGCGCGUGUAGGCGGCUCGAUAAGUCUGCUGUGAAAGUUCAGGGCUCAACCCUGAAAUGCCGGUGGAAACUGUCGAGCUAGAGUUCGGAAGAGGUGAGUGGAAUUCCUGGUGUAGCGGUGAAAUGCGCAGAUAUCAGGAGGAACACCAGUGGCGAAGGCAGCUCACUGGGACGUUACUGACGCUGAGACGCGAAAGCGUGGGGAGCAAACAGG
rnacentral:rRNA from 1 species